rnacentral:misc_RNA from 1 species
UUUCCGUAGGUGAACCUGCGGAAGGAUCAUUGUAGAGUUCCUUUUCAAACAGAUGUGAAGUUGUACCAAUACCCAUUGAGAACUAUUCAUUUUUGCUAUCAACACUUGCGUUGUUUAGAUGGGUUCCCUUUGCUGCCAUUAUCUUUGCUUCAUAAAUAGAGUAGAAAUAAAAGACCGGCACGGUUUGUGCUAAGGAUAGUUGUUGUUGAGGUACGUUGCCAUCUUUUUGAUGUCUUUGUGUUACUCUACGAGCAUAUAUGCCUGAGCAUAUACGCCUGAGUGACUACUGGCAAUGGAUAUCUUGGCUCUC